rnacentral:rRNA from 1 species
GACGUAGGGCGCGAGCGUUGUCCGGAUUUAUUGGGCGUAAAGAGCUCGUAGGCGGCUUGUCGCGUCGACUGUGAAAACCCGUGGCUCAACCAUGUGGUCUGCAGUCGAUACGGGCAGGCUAGAAUUCGGUAGGGGAGACUGGAAUUCCUGGUGUAGCGGUGGAAUGCGCAGAUAUCAGGAGGAACACCAAUAGCGAAGGCAGCUCGCUGGGACGGUAUUGACGCUAAGGCGCGAAAGCGUGGGGAGCAAACAGG